GACGAACGCUGGCGGCGUGCUUAACACAUGCAAGUCGAACGGAAAGGCCCUGCUUGCAGGGUGCUCGAGUGGCGAACGGGUGAGUAACACGUGGGUGAUCUGCCCCUUACUUUGGGAUAAGCCUGGGAAACUGGGUCUAAUACUGGAUAGGACCAUGCUGUAGGUGGUGUGGUGGAAAGAUUAGUUUCGGUAAGGGAUGAGCUCGCGGCCUAUCAGCUUGUUGGUGGGGUAAUGGCCUACCAAGGCGUCGACGGGUAGCCGGCCUGAGAGGGUGGACGGCCACAUUGGGACUGAGAUACGGCCCAGACUCCUACGGGAGGCAGCAGUGGGGAAUAUUGCACAAUGGGCGCAAGCCUGAUGCAGCGACGCCGCGUGGGGGAUGACGGCCUUCGGGUUGUAAACUCCUUUCAGCCAUGACGAAGCCCUUGUGGUGACGGUAGUGGUAGAAGAAGCACCGGCUAACUACAUG
rnacentral:rRNA from 1 species